rnacentral:rRNA from 1 species
UACGGGGGGGGCAAGCGUUGUUCGGAAUUACUGGGCGUAAAGGGCUCGUAGGUGGCCAACUAAGUCAUACGUGAAAUCCCUCGGCUUAACCGGGGAACUGCGUCUGAUACUGGAUGGCUUGAGGUUGGGAGAGGGAUGCGGAAUUCCAGGUGUAGCGGUGAAAUGCGUAGAUAUCUGGAGGAACACCGGUGGCGAAGGCAGGUCUCUGGGCCACUACGUGACGCUGAGAAGCGAAAGCAUGGGGAGCGAACAGG